rnacentral:rRNA from 1 species
AGAGUUUGAUCCUGGCUCAGGAUGAACGCUGGCGGCGUGCCUAACACAUGCAAGUCGAACGAAGGUAUAUAUAGGAAGUCUUCGGAUGGAAUAUGUAUAACUUAGUGGCGGACGGGUGAGUAACGCGUAAGUAAUCAACCUGUGACACACGGAUAACUGAUAGAAAUGUCAGCUAAUACGAGAUGAACUGUUUAAAUUGGGAAAUGGAAACAGCAAAGCGAAAGCGGUCACAGACGAGCUUGCGUCUGAUUAGCUAGUUGGUGGGGUAAGAGCCUACCAAGGCGACGAUCAGUAGCCGGCCUGAGAGGGUGAACGGCCACAUUGGAACUGAGACACGGUCCAAACUCCUACGGGAGGCAGCAGUGGGGGAUAUUGCACAAUGGGGGGAACCCUGAUGCAGCAACGCCGCGUGAGUGAAGAAGGCCCUAGGGUCGUAAAGCUCUGUCGUAUGGGAAGAAACAAAUGACUGUACCAUACAAGAAAGCCCCGGCUAACUACGUGCCAGCAGCCGCGGUAAUACGUAGGGGGCAAGCGUUAUCCGGAAUUACUGGGCGUAAAGGGUGCGUAGGCGGCUAGUUAAGUCGAGGUUAAAAGGCAGUAGCUCAACUACUGUUGGGCCUUGAAACUAAUUAGCUUGAGUAUAGGAGAGGAAAGUGGAAUUCCCGGUGUAGCGGUGAAAUGCGUAGAUAUCGGGAGGAAUACCGGUGGCGAAGGCGACUUUCUGGACUAUAACUGACGCUGAGGCACGAAAGCGUGGGUAGCAAACAGGAUUAGAUACCCUGGUAGUCCACGCCGUAAACGAUGAGUGCUAAGUGUUGGUCUCAUAAGAGAUCAGUGCUGCAGCUAACGCAUUAAGCACUCCGCCUGGGGAGUACGACCGCAAGGUUGAAAC